AACGAACGCUGGCGGCAUGCCUAACACAUGCAAGUCGAACGAGACCUUCGGGUCUAGUGGCGCACGGGUGCGUAACGCGUGGGAACCUGCCCUUAGGUUCGGAAUAACUCCCCGAAAGGGGUGCUAAUACCGGAUAAUGUCUUCGGACCAAAGAUUUAUCGCCUUUGGAUGGGCCCGCGUUGGAUUAGCUAGUUGGUAGGGUAAAAGCCUACCAAGGCGACGAUCCAUAGCUGGUCUGAGAGGAUGAUCAGCCACACUGGGACUGAGACACGGCCCAGACUCCUACGGGAGGAAGCAGUGGGGAAUAUUGGACAAUGGGCGAAAGCCUGAUCCAGCAAUGCCGCGUGAGUGAUGAAGGCCUUAGGGUUGUAAAGCUCUUUUACACGGGAUGAUAAUGACAGUACCGGGAGAAUAAGCGCCGGCUAACUCCGUG
rnacentral:rRNA from 1 species